UUUGUGCAGACUUUCCAGUGUUAUACUUGUUUUAGUGAUUCAUGUUCUUGACCCUGAAUUGUUUCCUGACCACUGAUUUCUGCCUAGCCCUCCUGAUUGUUCUAUGUUUAUUCUGUGUACCUACUCCUGGACCAGCUUCUUUGACCUCCUGUUUUGGAUCCCUUGGCUGUGUUCGUUUGCUGGUAUUGACCCUGGACUGUUGUGUGACUUGGAUUAUGGUUUCUGAACUGUCACUGUGUUUUUUUCUGAGGUGUGAUGGGAGGGAGCUGACCGCUUUAAGGAAGAUUUCUUGUGAGGUAGACCUCUUUAAGCCACUCCAUGGCUCAGCUCUGUUUCAGAAAGGACAAACAUAGAUGAGUCCCUCAGACCAGUCCUGAAUAAUAUUUGCACUGUGGCGCGGAGCAUUAUCCUGCUGAGAGCGACCACUGCCAUCAAGCAAUACCACUGACGUGAAAAACAAGAACAAGAUAUGGUUUCAGCUGUGCUCCUUAGACUCUGUGGUGGUGAUCUGCUGCUGCUCUCUACACACAUGGGGAGACAGAACUAGAGGAUGCUCUUAAGGAUACAUCUCAACUCUCAACUUCAAUCAACAACAUUCUUGUUUCUUAACACCUUGUCCUCACUUUCUCAUGUAUAACCCAGAAGAUGCCACCACCCACUUGACUGUCACACAGAGUCUCAGCAGCAUGUCUCAGGGGCGCAAUUAAGGGAUAAUACAGAUUAGCCCACUGUGUUCUGCUUCAGGUUUCUGAUUUCCAUGAACUAACAGCCUUUGGCUUCUGGGCUCUGAAUGCACAUCUCUUGUGACUGUAGAAAUAAUCCAUUGUGUUUUGUAUGACCUGACUCCUGCACACUGGAGGGUUUCAAACCAUGGAGUUACUGGAUUAUAAUCAUUACACUACGCUCAGCAAACACCACAACCAACAUGAUAAUCUGAUGUAUUUUUCUUGUUACCAGAAAACUGAAGUCCUCAUGUGAUGGGUGGUGUAAUGAUCUGUCUCAUGCGUCACAGAAACAUACUGAGCAUUUUUUUAAUUAUAAUAAAAAGCAGAAAGCAAAUGUUUUCUUUCACGGAACGUUAAAGUUUCUUCUGACAGCGGGUGCCAGGUGACUUUUGAGCAACGUGUGAAACUGAUCAAGGGCU